AAUGUGAAGUGAUGAUGAGGAGGAGAUGUGGAUGUUUAGGGCUUGGAGGCCUGCAAGAUGCAUCAAAUUACAGAAUGAGACGGCGAUGAGACGACGUCCUGGCGUCCUGGAUGCAGUAGGGGGGUGCAUGUUGCGGGGAGCUCUGCUGUGUGCACAGGACCAGAGCACAUCCCAACUCAGCCUCUGCCUGCAUGUCUGCUUCCUUGGCCUCAACAUUCCUACCUGUAAAUGGGGAUUGUAACCCACACCUCAGGGGUGCCAGGUUCAGAUGAUAUCGAUUCAGCUCUGGUGCCUCAUAAAUUAGUCUUUGCUCACAAAAUAGAAGGGAUUGUGGAGUGCACAGAAGUAGCCCCACCUGUCACACAUGGGAUCUUUUGGCUUCAAGAAACAUAAUUCCCAAAUCAGUCACUAAAUAAUAAGGACAAUUUGUUAUUUCCUAAAUCAAGGAAUCCAGGGGGCAUUCCAGGCAGCUUUGGGUUUGGCCAGUGCAGGGGUCACAUCUCAUCAAGAACCCAGCUUUCUUCUGGCUUGUGGCCUUGCUGUCUUCCUUUCCUUGGCUGGAUCCUUAGGCUUUCCUGCCGAUCAUCGCAGGAAGGUUCUAUAGCUCCAGGUAUCACAACUUCAUGCAAUAGUGUCCAGAAGCAGAAGGAGAAGAGAAAUGUGUGUUUCUUCUCUUUACUUCUUCAUAAGGUUCGGGACACCUUUCCCAGAAGCCUCCAGCAGAUUUUUUUCUCAGAUUACUUCAGCCAUAAUUGUAUCCCAGGAUUAUUUCUAGAUCAGCUGUUGGCAGAAGAAAGAGUCUGACGAUGAUGGGUUAAUCCCACCAGAGUCACACCCCCUGGAGACAGGUUUGAAAUAGGGGUGUUUUGGCUUGUCUCAUGAUUGGUGGCAUUGCUGGCAUGGAGGAGGGCGGGGCUAGGGGUGCUGGAUGUCUCCAGUGGGUAGAACAGUCCACACAGGACAAACUGGUUAUUCACACGUGUAAGGAGCGAUUUUGAUCAUCUUAGCCUAGAACCUAUGUCAGCUUUAUUUCCAAACAAAAUGUUUUUGCAAGAUUUUAAUGUAUAUUGAAUAGGCUGUUUAUGUUCUAGUAUCUCUUUCAUUUUCCUGCCCUUCUGUUGUGGGGUGACCCCUGAGCUUGCUUCUCUCACAUCCAGACUUUCCCUCCAGAUGUUGGCAAGGAUCUAACUGUUCAGUGUGUCUUUUUGUGUGCCUGUUCAUUUGCAUACUGAAAUAUGAUUUUUUUAUUACAAAUUUUCUUUUAUUUUUUUUAUAACCCAGUUAGAGCAUUAUAAUGGGUUUUUAAGUACUUGUGAUAUUGUAGGUUAAUUAUUUAUGACUUUCAUUUCAGGGCAGUAGAAAGGUCAUUAAGUACCGUUGUUCUUUGGGGAGGUCAUUGGGUCUGAUGGAUUGAGAAGCACUGGCUUGAAUCCAUCCAGAUUCACAUCCUGGGGCUGGGAGGGGAGUCUACCUGCUCUGAAACUCAUGGCUUCCUGGAACUUGAGGCACCUCAGAGUUGGGUUGAGAUUAUAGGCUGGAAUGGCUGUUGGCUUGGCACCCGUGAUGUCAGAUUAUCGCCCAUGCACGGUCCCUUAGCUGCCACCGAGUCCCAGUAAAUGUCUGGGAGGGAGACACCAAGAGGGCACUGAGGCAGGGCUGGGUUUGUGUUUAGCCCUGACACCCGACGGUGGAAACCCACCACAUUCAUGGCCGGUCAACUGCGGGUCAUAGGGCUGCAUCAGUUUACACCUGGGAGAGAACUUGCUGGUGGGCUUGAAGGACCAGCUUAUCUCUGAGCACAACCCAGAGAAGACAGGAGGGCAGCAAAGUCUGACCACCACCCAGCAGAGACAGAUGGUUCUGGAAGAGGCCUCUGGAGGCCAUCCCCCACAUUCAGUCACUCAGCCAUCCAGCUAACAUUUACUGAGGAUCUAUUAGGUGCCACGAAUCACGUUCCCAGGUGUGACGGUUUGAGAGCCAUCAGCCCUGAGCCUGCCCUUAGGGACUUCACAUUGGCCAGAGAGAGGAGCUGGACACCUGGGUAUUCUGCUUAAGUGAGCUUUAACCGGAGAAAAGGCUAAAUUUUGGUAGUUACUUUAUUACAGAUUAAAAAUAGAAGUUCAGAUGUUUGACUCUUACCCUUAAAUGUUAUUACUUAAUCCAUCCAGAAAUAUGUAUUGUGCACCUAUGAAGCGCCCAUCCUCAUAGUGAGUGUGGAAAUCGCACAAACUGACCAGAUAGCAUCUUGGGGUGAAUUGCAAAAAUCAACGCUACCGUGAAAGACUCGAAAGAUGCAGGGGUGGGGAAUCCAAUCACAUCUCCAUUGCAUUUGCCUGUUUGGCCCAUAGAGAGGCAGAUGGUCUAGGAGAAUGGCUGUGGGUUAUUAUAAACCUAGUCAGGUGGCGACUUCAGUUGCAGCUGCUGUUGCAGACGUAUUAUCUCUGAGUAGAUCAGCAACCCCCCUCCACCUCCUCUGCAGCCAUUGACCUGGCAGAUGCUUUAUUUCUUCUAGACCAAUUUGCAAAGACUAUGAGAAGCAGUUUGUUUUUAUGGCUCAGAGCCAACAGCACACACAUUUAAAGUCUUGCCUCCGAUCUAUGCCAACUCGCUUUUUGCCACGAUAUCAUCUUCAGAGAUUCUUGAGCAUCUUUUCAUUGUACCAGACAUCACCCUGCUGCAAUCUAUUGUUGGCAUUCCACUCUUGUGACCUGAUGGGCAAAAAAGUAGCAAGCACACUAAAUGCUUUAUUUAGUGAACCCUAGCCUUGGUUCCAAUUUUUGUGCGAGGCAGAAGAGCCCAGUCAAGAGACAGAAACCACGCCAGUUAUCUUAACAAUAAAAAUAGUAUAUUUGUGUAAUUGUUAACUAGGUAUUGAAGAAUUUAAAUGCAAAGAGAGGCAGGGAUCAGCAAACCUCUGUUCAGAGGUGAGCCGGCUGUCUUUGUAAAUCAAGUUUUAUUGGCACAUGGCCAGGCCCACUUGUCUACAUACUGUCUGUGGCUGCUUGCACACUCCAAGGGCAGAGUUAGAUAGUUGCAACAGAGAUCACGUGGCUUGCAAGUUUAAAGUAUGUACCGUAUGACUCUUAAAAAAUGCCACCCCUACACUGAGGUGUUACAUAGGUGGCAACUACAGGAAUCAGCUACCACUUUAGGGCUGGGGAACCAAGGGAAGAGGUUGUAGUGAGUAAAACAGAAGCUUGGAAGAGAGACCUUGUAGAAAGGGACUGUGAGAAUGAGAAACACCCAGCCCUGGCUGGUGGGUGCUGGCAUGCCUGAGCGCACCAAGGUGACAGUGAUGGGGACAGAAAAAACAAACAGGAAUAUGCAGGAAAACAGGGACGGGAAGCAGACAGGACAGAGCUCAUCCUUCCUUCUGUCUCCAGGCCUUCCUCUUGCACUCCGAUAGAGUGCUUACCAAGCCCAAAUAUCCACAGAGACAGCCCCAGGCGCAGAGUAGUGUGUAGAAGGGAGGGAGGGUUCUCAGCAGAGAGACGGUAGCUUAAGAACCGGUAAAAGGCAUCCCUUUCCUUAGUCAUCCAGGCCAGUGCGUCUAGAGAUGGAAGGCAGGGUGUGUAUCAAAUGGCAGUGUCUUCCUGAUUGUGGAUUCCAUGGUGGGUCUCAGUUUCCUUAUCUGUAAAAUGGUAAUAAAAAUAGGAAUAGUAAUAAUAAUAUGUCUGUUAAUGAAUAUAUCUGGUUGCAUUCAGUCCUGACACCCAGCAGCAGACCCCAGCACACCCCCAGCUGGUGGCUGCUGGAGAUCAGAUCUGCGUGGAUUUGUGACUCUAAUUGGCUCUCGCAGGCCAACACAUGAGAGGGCUGUUUUACCCACUGUCACUGUCACAGUCUUGGGUCUGAUGUGCUAUCCUGCUAAUGUUACUGUCCCUUUCCCUAGUCACUGUCACAGGUUCUGGUGCACUCAUUCAGACCUUAUCAUUGUCUGAGCCUCUCCAGGUAGCAGCCUUCUUCCCUGGUCUGUUCUCCCCACACACCUGAGGUCAGGGGCCUCGUCCAUCCUGGUCUCUCCUGCUUCCUCAGAGCACAGACCAGGGCCUGGCAUAGAGAGGGUGCCCAGCAAAGAGUCCAUUCAGAACUGCCUUUAACCCUCAACCACUUGUUUUGGAAGGUUUCAUCAUCCCUAAGGCCAGGUGAGGACACUCAAGCCCAGAGAGGUUAAGUCACCCGCCCGAUGUCACAAAGCAAUGAGUGGCGCAGCUGGGCUUCAGGACCUGCUCUCUCGUCCUGUGCUCUGGUUCCAACCUUGAGCACCCUCCUUUCCUGUUUUAUCUUCCAGGGGCCUUUCUUAGGCCAGAUUGCGCCCAGUUCACAGAGGGCCCACCCUGCCCCAGACAGCACAAGAGUUUGCCCUAGACCGCUCACCAUCCUUUUCAAUUUGAUAAUCGAACGAAGGCCAUAAAUCCAGCAAUAUGUGUGUGGUCAGCUGCCCCAUUCUUUUCCUAAGAAGCAGAUUUAUGGGGCAUCCACACUCAGGGAUGAUUAUUCCCCAAUAGUUUAUAGUAUCAAGGCUCCUUUAUUUUCCCCCAAUAAAUCUAAUUUAUAUGGACUGGCAGAUUAAGCAGUGCAUUUCCUGGCGUCGGAAGACCGUGAAUCAUUCACAGUGCUUUCAGAAACUUGAGAUUAAGGUUUUGCAUAAUGCAAAUCAGGAAGAGAAGAUGUUUGCUCUGCCCCACUGUGGAUGCAAUUAGAGCAAUGAACACCAGGAGAAAUUCAUUUUCUGAGGACAGAGAAAGGUCUGCUUGGUAUGCAAAAGAGCAGAGUUAUUUGCAACACAGGAGCCUGGAACUUGGUUCGCAAAGCACCCAGUGACUUUGAUUUGCGGCUUUAAAGAAUUUAAGGAUGAAUAAAACAUUGAAUAAAUUUU
rnacentral:lncRNA from 1 species